rnacentral:lncRNA from 1 species
CUCUUACUCUUCCAUUAAAAUAUUGGGAAGUUCCAGCUCUCUGUUAUGGAUGGCAUAAAGCAUCCAACCAGUUUCAGUUCUCUUUGAUAUAUUAUAAAGAUUAGGACCAGCCUAUCAGGAAUACUUAUAGGAUAAAUAGAAAAUAGAAUUCAAUUGAACAAAACUAUAACCAACGAAUAUUGAAUCAAUAUAAGUUUCGUGUGUUUAUACAAGUGGCAACAAAAUACCCAACGUGUAAGUUUUACACUAUUUUCAUUAAACAGUUUGAUGAUGUAACCUCUUAAAAAUAGUUCAGUGAUUCAUCUUUAGAUAGGCAUCUGUAACCAUGAUUGUGUAACAUACAUUACACACAAGAGGAGGAAAUCUAGUUAUUUGAGUGAACUGUUGACUUGACCCUUCCAUCAAUAAGAUGAGAUCCUAGGAUUCAUCUUUUGAACCACACUGAUAAACUUGAAAAUAGACAAGUUUGAGUAGCUGAGCAGCUAAUCCAGAAGCGUAAAACUAUCGGUCAUAUUUAGUCAAAAUACCAACAGACCAAAUUAACCCUUAGAAAGAACACUAAACACAAAAAUUACCAUUUCAAAUCAACAAAAUUACUCGAAACACAACAUCCUACUUCGUUCGAAGGCAAAUGUAAAUGUAGCAAACCAAGUAUAACUCAUGAUUCCAUUUUAUUGCGAGGCAGGGAACUCUGGACUACUGCUUAGGAAGGCAGGGGUAGAGGAAAACAAUUGUUUACUUCAGACAUUAACCCUUAGAAAGAACACUAAAUACAAAAAUUACCAUUUCAAAUCAACAAAACUACCAUGAAACAUGCUCUGGCUUUACACGAAACACAACAUCCGAUUCGUUUCAAGGCAACAUCCUAAAAAUGCAGCAAACCAAAUAUAACUCAUGAUUCCAUUUUAAUGCGAGGCAGGGAACUCU